GGGUGGGUCUGCAGGCAAGGAUGUGACGUGCUUAUGCCUCGACUCAGCUGUAACAACAAACACACCUAUGGUUUUAGUCUAGGAGAGAGAAUUCCUUGUGAAUUACAAUGGGCAGAACGUUGUGUCGUAAAGAAACUCUACUGCUGAAGGGGAGAUAGAAUUUCCUCAGGCUCUGCAGACAUCAGUGCUACAAUGGGAAGCUUUAUAGACAAAGAUGGACUAAGGAAGUUGGACGCCAUCAGAAAUGAGGAGAGACGUGAUUGCAUGCUGUUGCUGAUGACUGUGUUGCAUCACCAGGGCUGGCUCAGGGAUGUGUGCGGAUUUUAUCACCUACUGUGGCAGAGCAUCCUUCUUCAUCCCCAUCACAAAUACACAGGUGCGGCUACAGAUCUUGCUUUCAAGUGGACAUUCCUUAUGAUAUAAGCUUGGGGUGGGGAAAUCAGACUGUGUUGAAGAGGCUGCAAGUUUGUCAUUGAAAUGAGUUUUGCAAAGCAACAUGUUUCUCCCAGCAUAUUUCGGCCAAUGUGGUUUCGUGAAUGUCGUGUGUAUUAGUUCCUACCCAGGCAAUUGCUCUUUGAACACUGUUCCAUUUUGGUUACUAAUGAGUUUCUCAAGGAAAAUUAGUACAGCCAGCUGCUAUUUAUAUUUUUAAAAUCACAGAAUGUAACUAUGUGAAAGUGUUUUUUAAUACUUUUUAAAUCAGUUGAAUUUUAUAAUGGAGAUAUCUCUCCAUUAAUUUAGAUUUCAGAUAAUUUUAAAAUGUUUUUAUCUUGUAUGCAUAGAUCAAGGCCUACAUGUUUAGCUGAAUUGGUACUGAAUUUCUUCUAAUAAUCCACUCUGAAGAGAUGGAAGAGUGACUUCAAGAAGAAAUUUGUAAAAUCAGCUAAAGAAAAAAUGUGUAGAGAGCUCAAACAUUGAAAAUCUUUCAUUUCCUGUUCAAAUUUGAGAUUUGCUAUGUGUACUUUAUGCAGAUAACCUCCAAAGUUAAACUAUAAACUGUAAAGUUUAAUGUCCGCUUUUUAAAUUUUUCAAUAACUUUUGUUAAAGGUAAGUGAGGUUAUAUAUGGUGUUUCUGAUGAGAGACAAGGUGGCGACUAGACUGUUGUUGUGUUGGGGAAGUAACAUAGUGUUUAAAGAUUCACUAUUUCAAAGAAAAGUACUUUGACCUCCUUAUUGAUUUAUGCUACUUUAAGAAUAGACUUUCUUGAUAACUUAAGCCACUUUAAUUUCGGUGUGAUUUUAUACUUUACAAAGAAAGCUCUUUGAACUAAAAUACACUAGUAAAAUAAAAAUCCAUUGCUCCAUAUUGUUGUCCUAUAUUAUUCAUAGGUCACUCUACCUCCAUAUGUAUUUGCACUCAAGUAAAAGAAAAUCUAUACAGGCUUAUCCUUACAUUCCCUUUAGCCUGGUUUAGGAAUCGGUGCCUACUAAAGAGGCCGUAGUUCAUCUGUGUGUGCUCUGCCUCUGUGUGUGUUUCCUCAAGUUGUAAUUAGGCUGGAUGUUGAGGAGGUUGAUAGCAUGAUGCUGGAGAGCAAAGGUGGGGACUGGGUCCUGGUCAAAAGUCCAAAUAUCCACAAAGAAGAGAAGAUUAGAUCUAACAACAACUAAAGCUUAUCAGUUAGAAGCUCUGUGGUACGUAGUCAGGUAUGACACACAUAGAAAGAUGACUAGAUGAUAGGUAAAUAGGCCAUUUAGUCUGAUAUUGCUAAGUAAGGG
ensembl:lincRNA